GACGAACGCUGGCGGCGCGCUUAACACAUGCAAGUCGAACGGAAAGGCCUGCUUUCCCUUGUGGAUUGCGGGUACUCGAGUGGCGAACGGGUGAGUAACACGUGAGUGAUCUGCCCCCAACUUGGGUAUAAGCCUGGGAAACUGGGUCUAAUUCCCGAUAGGACUGCAGGGUGGUGCCUGUGGUGGAAAACGAUUUUCUAGUGGUUGGGGAUGAGCUCGCGGUCUAUCAGCUUGUUGGUGGGGUAAUGGCCUACCAAGGCGGCGACGGGUAGCCGGCCUGGGAGGGUGGACGGCCACAUUGGGACUGAGAUACGGCCCAGACGCCUACGGGAGGCAGCAGUGGGGAAUAUUGCACAAUGGGCGGAAGCCUGAUGCAGCGACGCCGCGUGGGGGAUGACGGCCUUCGGGUUGUAAACUCCUUUCGACCGCGAGGAAGCCACCUGGUUGGAAGGGUGGUGACGGUAGUGGUAGAAGAAGCACCGGCUAACUACGUG
rnacentral:rRNA from 1 species